CCUACGGGUGGCAGCAGUGAGGAAUAUUGGUCAAUGGCCGGAAGGCUGAACCAGCCAAGCCGCGUGAGGGAGGAAGGCGCAGAGCGUCGCAGACCUCUUUUGCCGGGGGACAAAAGGCCGGACUCGUCCGGUCCUGAGGGUACCCGGAGGAAAAGCAUCGGCUAACUCCGUGCCAGCAGCCGCGGUAAUACGGAGGAUGCGAGCGUUAUCCGGAUUCAUUGGGUUUCCAGGAUGCGCAGGCGGGCCUUUAAGCCGGCGGUGAGAUCGCGGGUCUCAACCCCGCCGAGCGGUCGGACAUGGGGGCCUUGAGUGCGGCGGAGGCAUGCGGAAUGCGCGGUGUAGCGGUGAAAUGUAUAGA
rnacentral:rRNA from 1 species